rnacentral:rRNA from 1 species
ACGGAAGGCAGCAGUGGGGAAUAUUGCACAAUGGGCGCAAGCCUGAUGCAGCGACGCCGCGUGGGGGAUGAAGGCCUUCGGGUUGUAAACUCCUUUCGCUAUCGACGAAGCCUUCGGGUGACGGUAGGUAGAUAAGAAGCACCGGCUAACUACGUGCCAGCAGCCGCGGUAAUACGUAGGGUGCAAGCGUUGUCCGGAAUUACUGGGCGUAAAGAGCUCGUAGGUGGUUUGUCGCGUCGUCUGUGAAAUCCCGGGGCUUAACUUCGGGCGUGCAGGCGAUACGGGCAUAACUUGAGUGCUGUAGGGGAGACUGGAAUUCCUGGUGUAGCGGUGAAAUGCGCAGAUAUCAGGAGGAACACCGAUGGCGAAGGCAGGUCUCUGGGCAGUAACUGACGCUGAGGAGCGAAAGCAUGGGUAGCGAACAGGAUUAGAUACCCUGGUA